GACGAACGCUGGCGGCGUGCUUAACACAUGCAAGUCGAGCGGUAAGGCCCUUUCGGGGGUACGACGAGCGGCGAACGGGUGAGUAACACGUGGGUGACCUGCCUUUAGUCUCUGGGAGUAAGCCUGGGAAACCGGGGUACUAAUACCGGAUAUGACUCCGCGGCGCAUGUUGUGGGGUGGAAAGCCUUGUGCGGCUGGAGAUGGGCCCGCGGCCUAUCAGCUUGUUGGUGGGGUGAUGGCCUACCAAGGCGACGACGGGUAGCCGGCCUGAGAGGGCGACCGGCCACACUGGGACGUGAGACACGGCCCACGACUCCUACGGGAGGCAGCAGUGGGGAAGUCUUGCGCAAUGGGCGAAAGCCUGACGCAGCGACGCCGCGUGAGGGAUGACGGCCU
rnacentral:rRNA from 1 species